AGGGUUUACAGUCCCCGAGACUGGUUGAAGAAGAAACGGAGAUGAAUUAAUCGAUCUACGAGCUCUCUUGGUUGUAUCGACCUAGGUCAAAAUUCCCCACUUUGGGUUUCAUUCUCAUAAAAUAUUUCUUCAUCGAUGCAAUCCGUUUCGAAGUCACAAUAUGGAACUAGGAAUAAUCGGAUACUGAAUCCAAGGAGAAGAAAUUCAGUUGACAGCGGUGAAUUCAUCACAACUGCCACCGUUCGUUCUCAACCACAGAAUUCCCAAGUUGCAGCUUCCUCACAGUCUCUAGUGCUGGAAUCUGCAUGAAUCAAUAAAAGUGAUUUAGAAAUAAUCAAUAAAUUUUUAGGCUUGAGUUUAAUCUACUGUCCUUCUGCAAUACCUUAUUUUCCAAAUCAUUAGUUGUUUAUGGUGCAAGUUUCUUUAAUAUGAUGUCUUAAAUCAUUUUAUUUAGGUUUUCUUAUCCUGCUUCUUAUGUUGUUGUAUAGGUGGUCAGGCCUGCCAUUGUGCCUGUGCCGCUGAUCGGACUGGACAGGCCUCGUUCCACACUCUGUAUGGUUGGGCACUGAAGCAUAUUUCUUUGAGGAAUACUUUGCAUUGGGUCAUAUGAUGGAUAGUAGUGGUCAGUAGGUAGCGUCCAGUUUCAUUAUUUAAUGUUUUUAGUAGGUAGCCUUAAUUACUCAUGUGGAAAAUUAAUAUCACAAGUACUUUGCUUGCUGACGGUCAGUUGUCCUGCUAUAUUGAUUAUGUAGCCAGUCCCCGCCGUUGUAUGUCUCAGAAACGGUUUGAUUACGGGGAAUUCGUCUCCUUAGGGCAUUGAUUCUUCAAAUAAGGAUGACAGUCAAUUCUUUUCCUAUGCCUAAACGUAGAAAUUCUUUUGUAGUCGGGAUCUUCAGCUGCUGCAAUACUAUUUCAGUACUAAGUGGUUUCACUUCA